rnacentral:lncRNA from 1 species
AAAAAAAUGGUUAAGAAUUAGCCUACAUACAGACAAUGAAUUACUAUACCUUUUCAUUUAGGCUACAAUAAUUUGGAAACCAAAAGUUGUAAGCAAAAACAUGUAAAUAAUACCAAGACAAGCUGGUAGGCAAUAUAACAUUUUAUUAGGCUAUUUUAAAGUGUCACCAAUUAAUUAUGUCCUUAGCAUUCUCUGAACUUUCCUGGUGAUUUUGUUUUGUUUCCAGUCAGAUAUCGGAACCUCAAGCGCUUGAUUUCACCUCAGCUGAAACUCUUCAAAAACGUGCGCACGACUUCCCGCAUAAGUGCUUUUACAUAUUUAACUUCAUUACCGUGUUAUUUUGAGGGCUCGCGAACAAAAUAAACGUCUUAACACACCAAAGACGUUCUCAUCUAUGAGCUGGGAUCGGCUGUGCCCUCAUCAAACUUACCUGAGGGCCUCCCGGCGUCCAGUUUGGCCCUGCUGAUCCUGGUGCUCAUUCCCUGCGUCCUUCUGCUCCUGCUGCUCAACUGCCUGUUUGUGGGAUACAAGCUGUUACGCAUGACCCUGAGGAAGAGAGACUGCUGCGGCUCGGAAAUCUCGCUCAUGCACUCGUCGGGUUCCACCCGCCAGAGAAUCACCCGCUUCUCUGAUGAGCCUCUGUUCGCUCCAAACAGAAAGACCAACUACGUCUCGGUCUCGGAACCGAUGCUGGCGCCUCCCAUCACCUCGUCCCUGACCUCCUCAGCGGAGAGAAGGGCCACCGGGCAGCGCGCCAGGUUUCUACGCCCGGAUGGGGCCACUUACGCCGGGUCCGAGUCCCUGCGCGUGCCAAACUGGAGGACGAGCGCCCCGGUUCUGCUGCAGUCCAGUGAUUCGGACACGGAGCGGGUCAACACGGUGCCCCCGAACUCACCAGCACUGCAUGUGACUCCAAAUGGGUUCUCAAUGCCGGUGACUUCCAUGCGUAGAAGCAGCACCAUGGAGCUGGAGAGCGCUCCUCUGGAUAAGAUCCAUGUGGAAUGUGAGUUCGCCAGCAUCAUCUCGCCGGAGAACUCAUGCUAUGUGGCAUCGUCAAGCCCCUCGGCUGGGGGUUCUGGACUGGACAGUGACUUUGGAGCCAGUGCAGGUGUAUCUCUGCGUAUCCUUUCUAUGGACAGUGAUGGUUUCCCGGGUUCUGCCUGGGCAUCCGCUCUGGAAUGGGAUUACUACAACCCAAGUUACGUCACUCAGAACCACGUCCCGAAGCACAGACCUCACGCACCCCCCAUCACUACCAAACAGUACUGGGUCUAGAGCCUGAGCUCCAUAGAGAGCGAUCAGAACAGGACUCAAUUCAGCCAUUCUCAUUCUAGAACUUCAGUUGAGUCUAGAUUUCUGUCUGGGUUUAGUGCACUCAAAAAAUGUUCACUUGCUGUUUUAACUGCAACACAUCACAUCUUGUCAAAUCACACACAAUCAAAAAAAAAAAGUUCACAAUCACAGCUUACUUCUGCAGCAACUCCAAACGGGUUUGUUCUGUUUAUAAAAAUGUGUUUAUAGAAUCACUCUACUGUUGCUCUCACUUUAUAUCACUUUGUUCGACACUUUCGAUUUGUCACUUUUUAUGUUUGCACGCGUUUCUCAGCAUGGAGUUACUGAGGUCUUCAGAAGCUGUUUUGAGUCCAUCACAAUUUUGACACCCUACACAUUCUUUUAUUUGUAAACAAAAUUUAGAUUGCGCCUGAAUUGAAUAAAGUUUUUAAAAACGGUGUCAUUUUAUUGCUGUAGACUUCGAAUGCAAAUAUUAAAAGAAACCUUAAUAAACAAUAGCGUUUCCUAGCAAGAUCAGUUUUCCUAUAUUCAUUGGAAUUUAUACUAAUAUUAAAGUCUCAAAUCUGGUGAUCAAAACCUUCAUAAAACCAUGCAAGCUAAAAAAAAUGUAUAAAAA